rnacentral:rRNA from 1 species
GACGAACGCUGGCGGCGUGCUUAACACAUGCAAGUCGAACGGAAAGGCCCUGCUUUUGUGGGGUGCUCGAGUGGCGAACGGGUGAGUAACACGUGAGUAACCUGCCCUUGACUUUGGGAUAACUUCAGGAAACUGGGGCUAAUACCGGAUAGGAGCUCCUGCUGCAUGGUGGGGGUUGGAAAGUUUCGGCGGUUGGGGAUGGACUCGCGGCUUAUCAGCUUGUUGGUGGGGUAGUGGCUUACCAAGGCUUUGACGGGUAGCCGGCCUGAGAGGGUGACCGGCCACGUGGUGACGAGGAGACGGCCCAGACUGGUGGGGGAGGCAGCAGGGGGAAAGAUGGCAGGACGGGGGGGCGGCGGAGGCCGCACGGGCGCGGGCUGGCUGCCUGGCUGGGGGUCGUAAAGCGCUGUCGCCGGUGGGGAAGGGUGGGUGACGGUGGUGGGAAAGGAAGCACCGGCUAACGACGCGACAGCACGCGCGGUAAUAAGCGGAACACCACACGUCUAUAC